CGGAGGCGGCGUCGAUGGCGGCCACGAUAAACUUGGCCACUCUGCCCAACUCUGUGAUCCCCCGCAGCUCCAACUGGAAGGACACCAUGCGUCAGUGAGGAGCUGCUGCGAGAGGCAGGAGCAAGCAAGAGGAUGUGGAAGUGUGCAGACGCGGGGGGGAAGGAGAGAGGCUCCCUGGGCAAAGCACCCGUCCCGUUAGCGGGGCGGCAGUCACAUUUAGUCCCAUUUGAGUUUGAGCGUUGCCGGCGCCUUGGCCGGCUUUGUGCUGGGCGACCUCCCUGUAAGCAGGGCUCGGGUCUUUGCUUUUGCUGUAGUUGGCCUUUUGCCUUGCUGCUCCUUUGGCUGCCUGGGGAGCGUGGGCCCCUGUAACGCAGGGCGAGAGCCACCUCUCCGCACCUGAGUGGGAAACGGAGCUCGCCGGACCCCGAGGCCACCCUGUAAGCAGGGUAGUGCCGUUUCCCCGCCCCUCUUCCUCCUGCGGCC